rnacentral:rRNA from 1 species
GGGCGCAAGCCUGAACCAGCCAUGCCGCGUGCAGGAAGACUGCCCUAUGGGUUGUAAACUGCUUUAUACAGGAAGAAACACUCGGACGUGUCCGAGCUUGACGGUACUGUAAGAAUAAGGAUCGGCGUAACUCCGUGCCAGCAGCCGCGGUAAUACGGAGGAUCCAAGCGUUAUCCGGAAUCAUUGGGUUUAAAGGGUCCGUAGGUGGAUUAGUAAGUCAGAGGUGAAAGCCUGCAGCUCAACUGUAGAACUGCCUUUGAUACUGCUAGUCUUGAGUCAUUAUGAAGUGGUUAGAAUGUGUAGUGUAGCGGUGAAAUGCAUAGAUAUUACACAGAAUACCGAUUGCGAAGGCAGAUCACUAAUAAUGUACUGACACUGAUGGACGAAAGCGUGGGGAGCGAACAGGAUUAGAUACCCUGGUAG